GUCCGGGCCAUCAUCAGUUUUCCCCGGGGGAUAAAGGCGGCGGGAAUGUGGCUCUCUUCGGGGAGUGUUAUAGCCCACCGUGUAAUACCCUGGGGGGGACUGAGGUUCGCGCAUCUGCAAGGAUGCUGGCGUAAUGGUCAUCAACGA
rnacentral:rRNA from 1 species